rnacentral:rRNA from 1 species
CAGUCGCCACGGUAAAACGGAGGGUGCAAGCGUUAAUCGGAAUUACUGGGCGUAAAGCGCACGCAGGCGGUCUGACAAGUCAGAUGUGAAAUCCCCGGGCUUAACCUGGGAACUGCAUUUGAAACUGUCAGGCUGGAGUCUUGUAGAGGGGGGUGGAAUUCCAGGUGUAGCGGUGAAAUGCGUAGAGAUCUGGAGGAAUACCGGUGGCGAAGGCGGCCCCCUGGACAAAGACUGACGCUCAGGUGCGAAAGCGUGGGGAGCAAACAGGAUUAGAUACCCGAGUAGUCCCUGUCUCUUAUAC